rnacentral:lncRNA from 1 species
GUUGGUACUGUAAAUGAUUCCUUGAUUCUACAGGUAAUCAGGUUGGGCCAGGUUGGUUUAGAAUUCUUUUUUCCCUUAAUAAAUUAAAUCAUCCUUUAAAAAGUAUGAUUCUUUAUUUACUCUGUUUAUCUUUGUCUGGUGUUAAAAAUUGUUUGAUAAUCUGAAAAAUGUAAGUAUGAUAAAAGUAAUCUGUAAGGGGGCAAAUACUUUUUUGCCGCUCUGUGUUCUCCAGAUAUUUUGGAUAUGUAAUGUUGGUCAGCUGAGGGUGAGAGAUUAAUGCUAGUUGUUUGUUGCAGUGUGUGUUCUGAAAGGUACUGUCCCGCUGUCCCACUGCCUCCCAACCUCUGUUCUGUCCUCAUCCUCACUGGGCACCUCACUUGCCCACUCUGCUGCCCCAGAGUGCCCCAACUGCAGACAGGAGCGAAAGAUCAGGGAGGAGUACGACAAGUUCAUAGUUCAGGUGAAGAAAGAUCGAGACAGCCUGAGCCAGAGAGUGACUGAGCUGGAGGAGGAGCUGAAGACACGAGGAGGAGAGGAGAGAGAGAACGUGAGAGAGGAGAGAGAGUGUGUGAGAGAGGAGAGAGAGAGUGUGAAGGAGGAGAGAGAGAGUGGCAGAGGGGGAGAAAGAGCAGGAGAGAGGAUGGAAAGAGCAUAAAAGAGGAGAAAAGGAGAGUUAGAGACAAACAAAGCACAGGACAGGGAGGAGAAAGUGUAAGAAAAGAAAAGGAAAACAUUGGAGAGGGGAGAGAGAGCAGAACUGGAAAAAGAGAGGGGAGAGAAAGCAUUAAAGAAAGAAGAGAAAAGAGUGACAUAGUUGUAAUGGGGAGAGGGAUUAUGAAAGAGGGCAGAAAGACAGCAAUAGAGGAGAGCAAUUCUAAAGGCAAUUCUGAUUCUGAGUGUGAGAGAAAGGGAAUAGACAGAGAAGGAAAGGAGAGAGAGGGGGGUGAAGAAGAAAAAGCAGAAGACUGGAAUAGAGGAGGGCGACCAAAGGGGGAUGACUCAGGAAGAAAGGAAUCCUACACCCCACACAAAGAAAAGAGCGCAGAGGAGGUGGAGGCCCUAAAAGCCUAUCUGAGAGUGUGUAUUCAGCAGGAGAAAGCACUUGCAUACACACUCCAGUGUGAGAGGGACCACUUCACUCAGAAUGCCCUAGAACUCCAGGAAGAGCUGGAAAGAGAGAGGAACAUGAGUGCACAACGCAUCACCAGCCUCCAUUCACAAACGGAGCACCUUCUGUCGGAGCUGAACCGAGUGAGAGAGGAGUGUGAGGGACUGAGAGAGAGAGCUGCUCUGUCCAUCACUCAGCUACAGAAAGAAAAGGUCAGAUUUCUUCUUCUCAUUUUAAACAAUAUUGUGUACACACUAAAUUUUCCAGUGUUAAAUCAGUACUAGCUGAUAGUGUUAAAAGUUACCACAUAUAGUGUUUAUUAAACACCAGAGGUGUUGACGUUUGUCUUAAAACUGUAGAUUUCCUAUUAUGUUGAUACUUCACUGACUGUAACAGGCAGUUUUAGCAUGUGUAAAAUGUUUCCUUGUGGAAAGGCUCAAAAUGUGUAUAACACCUACCAACAAUAGCAAUUUUCCUUAAUACUGCUUUAAAUCCUGUUCUGGUGUUUAGGCCGAGCUCAUCUCUCAC